AAUCAACGCUGGCGGCGUGCCUCAGACAUGCAAGUCGAACGAUUAAGGCUUCUUUCGGGAAGUGUAUAAAGUGGCGCACGGGUGAGUAACACGUAGGUAAUGUACCGUAGGGUGGGGAAUAACUUAGGGAAACUUAAGCUAAUACCGCAUAAUGCAGCGGCUCGACAUCGAGACAGUUGUUAAAGGAGUAAUCCGCCUUAUGAGCAGCCUGCGGCAGAUUAGCUUGUUGGUAAGGUAAUGGCUUACCAAGGCUACGAUCUGUAACCGACCUGAGAGGGUGGUCGGUCACACUGACACUGAAUAACGGGUCAGACUCCUACGGGAGGCAGCAGUCGGGAAUUUUGGGCAAUGGGCGAAAGCCUGACCCAGCAACGCCGCGUGAAGGAUGAAGUAUUUCGGUAUGUAAACUUCGUAAGAAUAGGAAGAAUAAAUGACGGUACUAUUUGUAAGGUCCGGCUAACUACGUGCCAGCCGCCGCCGUAACAC
rnacentral:rRNA from 1 species